CCUACGGGUGGCAGCAGUGGGGGAUAUUGCACAAUGGGGGGAACCCUGAUGCAGCGACGCCGCGUGGGUGAAGAAGCGCCUCGGCGCGUAAAGCCCUGUCAGCAGGGAAGAAAAUGACGGUACCUGAAGAAGAAGCCACGGCUAACUACGUGCCAGCAGCCGCGGUAAUACGUAGGUGGCAAGCGUUGUCCGGAAUUACUGGGUGUAAAGGGAGCGCAGGCGGGAAGCCAAGUCAGCUGUGAAAACUACGGGCUUAACUUGUAGACUGCAGUUGAAACUGGUUUUCUUGAGUGAAGUAGAGGUUGGCGGAAUUCCGAGUGUAGCGGUGAAAUGCGUAGAUAUCGAGAGGAACACUCGUGGCGAAGGCGGGUUCCUGGACAUUAACUGACGCUGAGGCACGAAGGCCAGGGGAGCGAAAGGGAUUAGAUACCCUGGUAGUC
rnacentral:rRNA from 1 species